GACUCGGUGGUGGAUGGUUCGCGUCCACAAUGUAUUGCAGAAUUGACAAUUGGUGUGGAAGUUGCCUGUUCGAAUCAGGCCCGAGUCA